UAACGAAUCUUGGGCAAUGGGCGAAAGCCUGACCCAGCAAUGCCGCGUGCAGGAGGAAGUCCUUCGGGAUGUAAACUGCUGUCAGGGGUUCACAAGCCUAGGACUUAAUACGUCUGACGGUUGAGUCGCCCCAGAGGAAGCCACGACUAACUCUGUGCCAGCAGUCGCGGUAAUACAGAGGUGGCAAGCGUUGUUCGGAAUCACUGGGCUUAAAGCGCGUGUAGGCGGCCCGGUUAGUGUCUUGUGAAAU
rnacentral:rRNA from 1 species